rnacentral:rRNA from 1 species
GUAGGGUGCAAGCGUUAUCCGGGAAUCAUUGGGCGUAAAGAGCUCGUAGGCGGUUCAGCAAGUCGGCUGUGAAAUCCCGAGGGCUUAACCUCGGAACUGCAGUCGAUACUGCUGUGACUAGAGUCCGGUAGAGGAGAAUGGAAUUCCCGGUGUAGCGGUGAAAUGCGCAGAUAUCGGGAGGAACACCAGUAGCGAAGGCGGUUCUCUGGGCCGGUACUGACGCUGAGGAGCGAAAGCGUGGGUAGCAAACAGGAUUAGAUACCCUGGUAGUCCACGCCGUAAACGUUGGACACUAGGUGUGGCGUUCCGACCAACGGGUGCCGUGCCGAAGCUAACGCAUUAAGUGUCCCGCCUGGGGAGUACGGCCGCAAAGGCUAA